rnacentral:rRNA from 1 species
AGAGUUUGAUCCUGGCUCAGGAUGAACGCUGGCGGCGUGCUUGAUACAUGCAAGUCGAACGGAGAGUGUAGCAAUAUACUCUUAGUGGCGAACGGGUGAGUAACGCGUUGGUGACCUGCCCCGAAGCGAGGGAUAACAGUUCGAAAGAACUGCUAAUACCUCAUGUGAUCACCGGUUUUAGAAUCUGGUGAUUAAAGGUGAAAAUCACUUCGGGAGGGGCCUGCGUCCCAUCAGCUAGUUGGUAAGGUAAUGGCUUACCAAGGCGAUGACGGGUAGGGGACCUGAGAGGGUGGCCCCCCACAAUGGAACUGAAACACGGUCCAUACACCUACGGGUGGCAGCAGUAGGGAAUAUUGCAAAUGGGCGAAAGCCUGAUGUAGCAACGCCGCGUGUGCGAUGAAGGUCUUCGGAUUGUAAAGCACUUUUUGGAGGGAUGAGGAAGGACAGUACCUCCAGAAUAAGCCUCGGCUAACUACGUGCCAGCAGCCGCGGUAACACGUAGGAGGCAAGCGUUAUUCGGAUUUACUGGGCGUAAAGCGCGUGCAGGCGGUUUGGAAAGUUGGAUGUGAAAGCUCCUGGCUCAACUGGGAGAGGUCGUUCAAUACUUCCAGACUUGAGAGUGGUAGAGGGAGGUGGAAUUCCGGGUGUAGUGGUGAAAUGCGUAGAUAUCCGGAGGAACACCAGUGGCGAAAGCGGCCUCCUGGACCACUUCUGACGCUCAGACGCGAAAGCUAGGGUAGCAAACGGGAUUAGAGACCCCGGUAGUCCUAGCUGUAAACGAUGUGAACUUGGCGUUGGUGGGUUUAAAUCCAUCAGUGCCGAAGCUAACGCGAUAAGUUCACCGCCUGGGGACUACGGCCGCAAGGUUAAAACUCAAAGGAAUUGACGGGGCCCC